UACGUAGGUGGCGAGCGUUAUCCGGAAUGAUUGGGCGUAAAGGGUGCGUAGGCGGCCUGCUAAGUCUGGAGUGAAAGGUACCGGCUCAACCGGUACAGGCUCUGGAAACUGGCGGGCUAGAGAGCAGGAGAGGGCGGUGGAACUCCAUGUGUAGCGGUAAAAUGCGUAGAUAUAUGGAAGAACACCAGUGGCGAAGGCGACUUACUGGACUGUAACUGACGUUGAGGCACGAAAGUGUGGGGAGCAAACAGG
rnacentral:rRNA from 1 species